GCAUGGACAACGCGUUUCUGUAGGUUGGUGUCAUCCUUCCAAUGUCACAGCUGGGGCUCCAUGAAGUCUGGUGGAAGCCGCAGAGCUUGGCCCUAGAAAUUGUCUUAAAUCACAGCCACGCGGUCGCAUCCCACAAACGACGCCUUUUGGAUAAUGUAGGGUUCUGACUUCUGGCACCUGCGUUUCCCCCUUUCUUUGGGAAAGUCAGUGACCACGGACUUUGGUCGUCCCCGACAUAAACUGGAUUUGUUCCAGACGUGAAAGUCGGCAUUUGGAGGAGACAGGGGUCGUGCCGAAUGCUGACUGUUCUCCAGAGAAAAAUGACCUGAGAUCCACCACAGCUGUUUCAUUACUUCUCAGAAUGAUGGGGACUCAUUUAAUAAAUGGAAGAAUUUUUUAAUCAAAUCAUAAAACAGGAUGUAUAAACUUUAUUAUUGAUUGCACAUUCGUAAAAGCUUUCUCAAUAAAGCCGACCGGCCUCCCAGUCUCAGGUUUCUAUUAGGUAAUUUAAUCUGUCUAACUCUUACUUUAUAUUGUUUUUUUUUCUUUUUUAUUACUUCAUAUUACAGUACAUCUUUGUAGCCAAAAAUUGAAUAGCAUAAUGUUUUGUGUGUUUUUUUUCUUCCUGAGACAAAAAAAUAACAAACUGUGCUUUUGGUUCAAGGAGGUCAUAAUUCCAGACGAAACUUAAUGAUUUUAAUGGGAAAAUGUUCUACCAAGAAAAAAUAAAAGCAGAAGGGCGCAGGGAGCUUUAUGUCUGCUUUGAUCUGAAACAUUGUAGCAGCGUUUGUAAAAUCUGUUUCUCAAAGUAACAUAAAAGUGCUUGGAAGUAA